UGGCUCAGGAUGAACGCUGGCGGUCUGCUUAACACAUGCAAGUCGAACGGAAUCCUUAGGGAUUUAGUGGCGGACGGGUGAGUAACACGUAAGAACCUGCCUCUAGGACGGGGACAACAGUUGGAAACGACUGCUAAACCCGGAUGAGCCGAAAGGUAAAAGAUUAAUCGCCUAGAGAGGGGCUUGCGUCUGAUUAGCUAGUUGGUGAGGUAAGAGCCCACCAAGGCGACGAUCAGUAGCUGGUCUGAGAGGAUGAUCAGCCACACUGGGACUGAGACACGGCCCAGACUCCUACGGGAGGCAGCAGUGGGGAAUUUUCCGCAAUGGGCGAAAGCCUGACGGAGCAAGACCGCGUGGGGGAGGAAGGUUCUUGGAUUGUCAACCCCUUUUCUCAGGGAAGAACACAAUGACGGUACCUGAGGAAAAAGCAUCGGCUAACUCCGUGCCAGCAGCCGCGGUAAUACGGGGGAUGCAAGCGUUAUCCGGAAUGAUUGGGCGUAAAGAGUCCGUAGGUAGUCAUCCAAGUCUGCUGUUAAAGAGCGAGGCUUAACCUCGUAAAGGCAGUGGAAACUGGAAGACUAGAGUGUAGUAGGGGCAGAGGGAAUUCCUGGUGUAGCGGUGAAAUGCGUAGAGAUCAGGAAGAACACCGGUGGCGAAGGCGCUCUGCUGGGCUAUAACUGACACUGAGGGACGAAAGCUAGGGGAGCGAAUGGGAUUAGAUACCCCAGUAGUCCUAGCGGUAAACGAUGGAAACUAGGUGUGGCCUGUAUCGACCCGAGCCGGNNCCGAANC
rnacentral:rRNA from 1 species